UAGGGAAUCUUCCACAAUGGGCGAAAGCCUGAUGGAGCAACGCCGCGUGUGUGAUGAAGGGUAUCGGCUCGUAAAACACUGUUGUAAGAGAAGAAUGACAUUGAGAGUAACUGUUCAAUGUGUGACGGUAUCUAACCAGAAAGCCACGGCUAACUACGUGCCAG
rnacentral:rRNA from 1 species